rnacentral:misc_RNA from 1 species
UCUCCGUUGGUGAACCAGCGGAGGGAUCAUUACCGAAGUUACUCUUCACAACCCUUCUGUGAACCCUACCGACCUUUGCCGCGCGUUGCCUCGGCGGGGAGGUCCGGGGUCGGGGGGUGGCUCCCCGCGGGCCCCCCCCUAACUCGGGCCCCCGCCGGCCGUGCCGAACUCUUCUAUUUGCGAAAGCGAACUGCAUGUCUGAUUGCGUCUUGAAAACAAGUCAAAACUUUCAACAACGGAUCUCUUGGUUCUG